CCUACGGGAGGCAGCAGUGGGGGAUAUUGCACAAUGGGGGAAACCCUGAUGCAGCGACGCCGCGUGGGUGAAGAAGCGCCUCGGCGCGUAAAGCCCUGUCAGCAGGGAAGAAAAUGACGGUACCUGAAGAAGAAGCCCCGGCUAACUACGUGCCAGCAGCCGCGGUAAUACGUAUGGGGCAAGCGUUAUCCGGAUUUACUGGGUGUAAAGGGGGCGCAGGCGGCGAUGCAAGCCAGGAGUGAAAGCCCGGGGCCCAACCCCGGGACUGCUCUUGGAACUGCGUGGCUAGAGUGCAGGGGGGGCAGGCGGAAUUCCUGGUGUAGCGGUGAAAUGCGUAGAGAUCAGGAGGAACACCGGUGGCGAAGGCGGCCUGCUGGACUGCAACUGACGUUGAGGCCCGAAAGCGUGGGGAGCAAACAGGAUUAGAUACCCCAGUAGUC
rnacentral:rRNA from 1 species